rnacentral:rRNA from 1 species
AUUGAACGCUGGCGGCAGGCCUAACACAUGCAAGUCGAACGGACCCUUCGGGGUUAGUGGCGGACGGGUGAGUAACACGUGGGAACGUGCCUUUAGGUUCGGAAUAGCUCCUGGAAACGGGUGGUAAUGCCGAAUGUGCCCUUCGGGGGAAAGAUUUAUCGCCUUUAGAGCGGCCCGCGUCUGAUUAGCUAGUUGGUGAG